rnacentral:rRNA from 1 species
UACGAAGGGGCUAGCGUUGUUCGGAAUUACUGGGCGUAAAGGGCGCGUAGGCGGUACUUCAAGUCAGGCGUGAAAGCCCCGGGCUCAACCUGGGAACCGCGCUUGAGACUGGAGAACUAGAGUUCGGGAGAGGAUGGUGGAAUUCCCAGUGUAGAGGUGAAAUUCGUAGAUAUUGGGAAGAACACCGAUGGCGAAGGCAGCCAUCUGGACCGACACUGACGCUGAGGCGCGAAAGCGUGGGGAGCAAACAGGAUUAGAUACCCUGGUAGUCCCUGA